AGACGGGUGUGCGUAUGAUUAGGUAGUUGGCGGGGUAACGGCCCACCAAGCCCAUGAUCAUUAACUGGUGUGAGAGCACGACCAGUCACACGGGCACUGAGACACGGGCCCGACUCCUACGGGAGGCAGCAGUAAGGAAUAUUGGUCAAUGGAGGCAACUCUGAACCAGCCAUGCCGCGUGGAGGAUGAAGGUCCUCUGGAUUGUAAACUUCUUUUAUAUGGGACGAAAAAGGGACUUUCUAGUUCAACUGACGGUACCAUAUGAAUAAGCACCGGCUAACUCCGUGCCAGCAGCCGCGGUAAUACGGAGGGUGCAAGCGUUAUCCGGAUUCACUGGGUUUAAAGGGAGCGCAGGUGGGUUGGUAAGUCAGAGGUGAAAUCUCCGAGCUUAACUCGGAAACUGCCUUUGAUACUAUCAGUCUUGAAUAUUGUGGAGGUUAGCGGAAUAUGUCAUGUAGCGGUGAAAUGCUUAGAUAUGACAUAGAACACCAAUUGCGAAGGCAGCUGGCUACACAUAUAUUGACACUGAGGCUCGAAAGCGU
rnacentral:rRNA from 1 species